rnacentral:pre_miRNA from 1 species
CUUGGGGGUGGCGAGGAAACCGUUACCAUUACUGAGUUUAGUAAUGGUAACGGUUCUCUUGCUGCACCCAGA